GAUAAACGCUGGCGGCGUGCCUAAUACAUGCAAGUCGAGCGAACAGACGAGGAGCUUGCUCCUCUGAUGUUAGCGGCGGACGGGUGAGUAACACGUGGAUAACCUACCUAUAAGACUGGGAUAACUUCGGGAAACCGGAGCUAAUACCGGAUAACAUGUUGAACCGCAUGGUUCAACAGUGAAAGACGGUCUUGCUGUCACUUAUAGAUGGAUCCGCGCCGCAUUAGCUAGUUGGUAAGGUAACGGCUUACCAAGGCAACGAUGCGUAGCCGACCUGAGAGGGUGAUCGGCCACACUGGAACUGAGACACGGUCCAGACUCCUACGGGAGGCGGCAGUAGGGAAUCUUCCGCAAUGGGCGAAAGCCUGACGGAGCAACGCCGCGUGAGUGAAGAAGGUCUUCGGAUCGUAAAACUCUGUUAUUAGGGAAGAACAAAUGUGUAAGUAACUAUGCACGUCUUGACGGUACCUAAUCAGAAAGCCACGGCUAACUACGUG
rnacentral:rRNA from 1 species